UCAAACACAAAAAAAUCGUGUAACCAUUCGAGUUGAAUAAAUUGUGCUUCAAUUAAAAUUCACAAAAAGAAAAAAAUGAAUUUCUUAUAUGCAGUUCAAGGCUUUGGGCUUAUCCUAACCAAGCUUAGCACAGUUUGUCGCCAGCUGUAGUCAGAACAAUAUCUUGUUUACUUACUUUUGUGUACUUGGGCUGCGCAUUGGGAUUGGCCAUAUUGAAGAGCUGCAAUUGAGCGACUGACAACUUGACUGCCUGAGCGUUAGCACUUAACUGAAGCUGCAAUUGGUUUCUGGAUUCGUUUUAUGGCUGCCUUUGAUAUGCCUUAGAUAUGCGUCACUUUAGGCUAUUAAAGUUUAUUGAUCUCGGCCCUAAAUACACUGCAAUACCUACAAAUGUGACUGUGUCGGAUAAUUAAACACAAGAAGAAGAAACGAGCUGGCGAAAUUCU